AGCUAUCUGAGGUAAUGAAGGUAUGACAAGAAUGAAAACUUCAUACCAUCAAGCAGGCAAGAUUCCUACUGCUCAUGGGACAGUGUGACCCAAAGCUCAGUGUCAGUGCUGAGAUAAGAACUACAAGCCUUACCAGAUCCUCUCCUGAAGGAGCCAUAGAAAAUGCUUUUGAGCCCAUGUAAAUGGCUGACACGUGGCAGAGAGCUCCAUAGCUUAACUGGAUUUGCAGAUGCAUAAAGACCUAUCUUCCUUCUCCUGCUCUGAACCCACCUCCAGCUGACUCCCGCUGAUGUCCUGCAGCUCUCAGAACAUUGCAAGGUACUGUCUGCCCCUCAUUACUCACUUAAUGCUCCUUGUAGUUUUAUAGACCUUGAGUGUAUCUGU
rnacentral:lncRNA from 1 species